GACGAACGCUGGCGGCGUGCUUAACACAUGCAAGUCGAACGGUAAGGCUCUUCGGAGUACACGAGUGGCGAACGGGUGAGUAACACGUGAGCAACCUACCCUUGACACUGGGAUAACAGUUGGAAACAGCUGCUAAUACCGGAUACGACCCGAGCAGGCAUCUGCUUGGGUGGAAAGCUCCGACGGUCAAGGAUGGGCUCGCGGCCUAUCAGCUUGUUGGUGAGGUAACGGCUCACCAAGGCGACGACGGGUAGCCGGCCUGAGAGGGCGACCGGCCACACUGGGACUGAGAUACGGCCCAGACUCCUACGGGAGGCAGCAGUGGGGAAUAUUGCGCAAUGGGCGAAAGCCUGACGCAGCAACGCCGCGUGCGGGAUGACGGCCUUCGGGUUGUAAACCGCUUUCAGCUACGACGAAGUGAAAGUGACGGUAGUAGCAGAAGAAGCGCCGGCUAACUACGUG
rnacentral:rRNA from 1 species